CCUACGGGGUGCAGCAGUGAGGAAUAUUGGUCAAUGGACGCAAGUCUGAACCAGCCAUGCCGCGUGCAGGAAGACGGCUCUAUGAGUUGUAAACUGCUUUUGUACGAGGGUAAACGCAGAUACGCGUAUCUGUCUGAAAGUAUCGUACGAAUAAGGAUCGGCUAACUCCGUGCCAGCAGCCGCGGUAAUACGGAGGAUUCAAGCGUUAUCCGGAUUUAUUGGGUUUAACGGGUGCGUAGGCGGUCGGAUAAGUUAGAGGUGAAAUCCCGAGGCUCACCUUCGGAAUUGCCUCUGAUACGGUUCGGCUAGAGAGUAGUUGCGGUAGGCUGAAUGUAUUGUGUAGCGGU
rnacentral:rRNA from 1 species